rnacentral:rRNA from 1 species
UACGGGGGGGGCAAGCGUUGUUCGGAAUUACUGGGCGUAAAGGGCUCGUAGGUGGCCAACUAAGUCGGACGUGAAAUCCCUCAGCUUAACUGGGGAACUGCGUCCGAUACUGGAUGGCUUGAGUUUGGGAGAGGGAUGCGGAAUUCCAGGUGUAGCGGUGAAAUGCGUAGAUAUCUGGAGGAAUACCGGUGGCGAAGGCGGCUACCUGGCCCAACAUUGACACUGAGGCCCAAAAGCGUGGGGAUCAAACAGG